UACGAAGGGUGCAAGCGUUGUUCGGAAUUAUUGGGCGUAAAGAGCGUGUAGGCGGCUUGUUAAGUCGCUUGUGAAAUCCCCCGGCUCAACCGGGGAACUGCAAGCGAUACUGGCGAGCUAGAGUGUCGGAGGGGAUAGUGGAAUUUCCAGUGUAGGGGUGAAAUCCGUAGAUAUUGGAAGGAACACCUGUGGCGAAGGCGGCUAUCUGGACGACAACUGACGCUGAGGCGCGAAAGCAUGGGUAGCAAACAGG
rnacentral:rRNA from 1 species